rnacentral:tRNA from 1 species
ACUCCUUUAGCUCAGUGGCUGGAGCAUCAGAUUUUUAAUCUGAGGGUCAUGGGUUCGAAUCCCAUAGGGGGUA